GCCUGGUUGGCUCACUCAGUAGUGCAUGGGACUUUUGACCCUCAGGGUGUGAGUUUGAGCCCCACAUCGGGUG
rnacentral:tRNA from 1 species